CGGCAGGCUUAACACAUGCAAGUCGAGGGGUAUAGGUUCUUCGGAACUAGAGACCGGCGCACGGGUGCGUAACGCGUAUGCAAUCUACCUUUGCAGAGGGAUAGCCCAGAGAAAUUUGGAUUAAUACCUCAUAGUAUAGCAGUUUCGCAUGAAACCACUAUUAAAGUCACAACGGCAAAAGAUGAGCAUGCGUCCCAUUAGCUAGUUGGUAAGGUAACGGCUUACCAAGGCUACGAUGGGUAGGGGUCCUGAGAGGGAGAUCCCCCACACUGGUACUGAGACACGGACCAGACUCCUACGGGAGGCAGCAGUGAGGAAUAUUGGACAAUGGGCGCAAGCCUGAUCCAGCCAUGCCGCGUGCAGGAUGACGGUCCUAUGGAUUGUAAACUGCUUUGUACAGGAAGAAACACUCCCUCGUGAGGGAGCUUGACGGUACUGUAAGAAUAAGGAUCGGCUAACUCCGUG
rnacentral:rRNA from 1 species